AACGAACGCUGGCGGCAUGCCUAACACAUGCAAGUCGAACGAGACCUUCGGGUCUAGUGGCGCACGGGUGCGUAACGCGUGGGAACUUGCCCUUAGGUUCGGAAUAACUCACCGAAGGGGGUGCUAAUACCGGAUAAGGUCAUCGGACCAAAGAUUUAUCGCCUUUGGAUGGGCCCGGGUUGGAUUAGGCAGUUGGUAGGGUAAAAGCCUACCAAGGCGACGAUCCAUAGCUGGUCUGAGAGGAUGAUCAGCCACACUGGGACUGAGACACGGCCCAGACUCGUACGGGAGGCAGCAGUGGGGUAUAUUGGACAAUGGGCGCAAGCCUGAUCCAGCAAUGCCGCGUGAGUGAUGAAGGCCUUAGGGUUGUAAUGCUCUUUUACCCGGGAUGAUAAUGACAGUACCGGGAGAAUAAGCUCCGGCUAACUCCGUG
rnacentral:rRNA from 1 species